CUAGCUGUAAACGAUGGAUACUAGGCGUUGAGAGUAUCGACCCUCUCAGUGUCGUAGCUAACGCGUUAAGUAUCCCGCCUGGGGAGUACGCGCGCAAGCGUGAAACUCAAAGGAAUUGACGGGGGCCCGCACAAGCGGUGGAGUAUGUGGUUUAAUUCGAUGCAACGCGAAGAACCUUACCAGGGCUUGACAUGUCCGAAACCCUGCCCAAAGGCGGGGGUGCCUACGGGAACCGGAACACAGGUGGUGC
rnacentral:rRNA from 1 species